CAGCCGCCGCGGUAAUACGGAGGGCGCGAGCGUUGUCCGGAUUCACUGGGCGUAAAGCGGGUGUAGGCGGUUGGGCAAGUCGGACGUGAAAGCCCGGGGCUCAACCCCGGAAGGGCGUCCGAAACUGCUCAACUUGAGGACGGGAGAGGGAGGUGGAAUUCCCGGUGUAGCGGUGAAAUGCGUAGAUAUCGGGAGGAACUCCAGUGGCGAAGGCGGCCUCCUGGCCCGUUCCUGACGCUGAGACCCGAAAGCGUGGGGAGCAAACCGGAUUAGAUACCCGGGUAGUCCACGCCCUAAGCGAUGGGUACUGGCCGGUUGGUGGGCGAUAGCGCUGAGUGGCGAAGAUAACGCGAGAAGUACCCCGCCUGGGGAGUACGGCCGCAAGGUUGAAACUUAAAGGAAUUGGCGGG
rnacentral:rRNA from 1 species